AGUGUUUCCCAAGUGACUGGACCUAGGCAUCCAGUUUGGAAAAUUCCAGACAGUGAUAUUGAAUCUAAGAGAAUGAAAUCUUCCCGUUUCAAAGAUGUUUCUAAGAAAAACUCACGUGACAGACUCUCUGGUGUAACUCAAAAGAGUUUGAAGAACUCUUUAGAAGGACAAGUUACAUUUGGUGU
rnacentral:sRNA from 1 species